AGGGCAUCCUAUUACCUAUUCUUCCUAAAUCAAUUUUGUUCAAACGCUUUAUCUUCUUGGUUUUUUUCCUGAAUCAAUUGGACAAGCUAUUAUGGGCAUGGGAUAAUCUGGUUUCAUAAUUUUCUGUGCAUGCAACUUCUUUUAGGGAUGCCUGCAGUUAGAUGCCUUCUGUUUGCAAUGUAGUUAGCUUUUAAAUGUG
rnacentral:lncRNA from 1 species